rnacentral:rRNA from 1 species
AAUAGACUACCCUGGUAGUCCACGCCGUAAACGAUGAAUGCUAGGUGUCAGGGGUUUCGAGACCCUUGGUGCCGAAGUUAACACAUUAAGCAUUCCGCCUGGGGAGUACGGCCGCAAGGCUGAAACUCAAAGGAAUUGACGGGGGACCCGCACAAGCAGUGGAGCAUGUGGUUUAAUUCGAAGCAACGCGAAGAACCUUACCAGGUCUUGACAUCCCUCUGAAUACGCCAGAGAUGGUGUAGGCCCUUCGGGGACAGAGGAGACAGGUGGUGCAUGGUUGUCGUCAGCUCGUGUCGUGAGAUGUUGGGUUAAGUCCCGCAACGAGCGCAACCCUUAGGUCUAGUUGCCAGCACUUCGGGUGGGCACUCUAGAGCGACUGCCGGUGACAAACCGGAGGAAGGCGGGGAUGACGUCAAAUCAUCAUGCCCCUUAUGACCUGGGCUACACACGUGCUACAAUGGCCGGUACAAAGGGCCGCGAAGCCGCGAGGCGGAGCCAAUCCCAAAAAGCCGGUCUCAGUUCGGAUUGCAGGCUG